rnacentral:rRNA from 1 species
GGCGAGACGGGUGAGUAACGCGUGGGUAAUCUACCUCAAAGACUGGGAUAACUACUGGAAACGGAUGCUAAUACCGGAUGAUUCAUAUUUAGAUAACUAGAUAUGCUAAAAGGAGCUUUUUGCUUCACUUUGAGAUGAGCUUGCGUUGUAUUAGCUAGUUGGUGGGGUAAUGGCCUACCAAGGCAACGAUGCAUAUCCGAGCUGAGAGGCUGAUCGGACACAUUGGGACUGAGACACGGCCCAGACUCCUACGGGAGACAGCAGUUAGGAAUAUUCGUCAAUGGGGGAAACCCUGAACGAGCAAUGCCGCGUGAAUGAUGACAAUCCUCUGGAUUGUAAAGUUCUGUUGUAAAGGAAGAAACCUUACUAUAGGUAAUGAUAGUAAGCUGACGGUACUUUACCAGAAAGCCCCGGCUAACUACGUGCCAGCAGCUGC